UACGUAGGGGGCGAGCGUUGUCCGAAGUUACUGGGCGUAAAGCGCGCGUAGGCGGGGGAGCAAGUCCGCUGUGAAAGCCCGAGGCUUAACCUCGGAGGGUCGGUGGAUACUGCUUCUCUUGAAGAGGCUAGGGGGAGAUGGAAUUACCGGUGUAGCGGUGAAAUGCGUAGAGAUCGGUAGGAACACCAGUGGCGAAGGCGGUCUCCUGGACCGACAUUGACGCUGAGGAGCGAAAGCUAGGGGAGCAAACGGG
rnacentral:rRNA from 1 species